rnacentral:miRNA from 1 species
CACCUCAUCAAACAGAAGGAAUCCAUUCUGGUUGAUGAGGUUGUUCUACCUCAUUGACCAGAAGGAUUUCCUUCAGGUUGAUGAGGUAUAACAACCCCAUUGACCAGAAGGAAUUCCUUCUGAUUGAUGAGGUG